UGGUGGGUAGUUUGACUGGGGCGGUCUCCUCCUAAAGAGUAACGGAGGAGCACGAAGGUUGGCUAAUCCUGGUCGGACAUCAGGAGGUUAGUGCAAUGGCAUAAGCCAGCUUGACUGCGAGCGUGACGGCGCGAGCAGGUGCGAAAGCAGGUCAUAGUGAUCCGGUGGUUCUGAAUGGAAGGGCCAUCGCUCAACGGAUAAAAGGUACUCCGGGGAUAACAGGCUGAUACCGCCCAAGAGUUCAUAUCGACGGCGGUGUUUGGCACCUCGAUGUCGGCUCAUCACAUCCUGGGGCUGAAGUAGGUCCCAAGGGUAUGGCUGUUCGCCAUUUAAAGUGGUACGCGAGCUGGGUUUAGAACGUCGUGAGACAGUUCGGUCCCUAUCUGCCGUGGGCGCUGGAGAACUGAGGGGGGCUGCUCCUAGUACGAGAGGACCGGAGUGGACGCAUCACUGGUGUUCGGGUUGUCAUGCCAAUGGCACUGCCCGGUAGCUAAAUGCGGAAGAGAUAAGUGCUGAAAGCAUCUAAGCACGAAACUUGCCCCGAGAUGAGUUCUCCCUGAGACUUAGAGUCUCCUGAAGGAACGUUGAAGACGACGACGUUGAUAGGCCGGGUGUGUAAGCGCAGCGAUGCGUUGAGCUAACCGGUACUAAUGAACCGUGAGGCUUAACCU
rnacentral:rRNA from 1 species